UGUUGUAAAGCUUGCUCCUUUUGGUGGCUGUCCUCCCCCUGUCCCAGGUCCUGUCAGCUGGAAUAGACAGAGCCAUUAUCUCCCCUGGCGUGAUGUCCCCUGAAAGGUAGAAGGAAACUGUGAAGGCAAAUGGGACAUCAAAAAGGCAGUAUCAGCUGUUAGAUGUGCCCAGCUCUUCAAACACCAUUACCGGGGACUUCGUGAGAGCCUCUUCACGCAACGUGACAGCUCAGGAACACAAACCAGACUUCAGGGAUGAUCACUUCUGUGAAAGAGCCACGUGGACGGUGCCAGUUCCAGCUGGCAUCUUAGGGAUCACUUUGGUCCCUUCUCUAUCCGGAAGAAAUGGUCACACACACGUACAUGAGGUGGUUUUGUGACUGAAGUCACCUCUAAAGAACUGGGAAGGGUUUGUAGACCUCUGCACAAAACUGCACUCGUCGCCAAGCUGCUGUGCUGCUGUGGGCUCCUCCUCUGCAGUGUUUGAUGGUCUUUUGUGGUUACAAAGAUCACAAAGAUCCACUGACAGCAACUGCCCUAUGCAGAAGGAUACUGAUCAGUCCUUGAAUGAGAAAGCAGUCUGGAAGAAGUCACCAGUAGGAGCCUUGGAUACUCAACACUGGCAAUUAACAAUAAACAAGUAAACUGGGGACCUCCAUUCAUUCCCUUGUGGUCCACUUUGAAUUUGCUUUACUAGCAGAGGGCAUGAGGGCAAGACCAAAGAUAGAAAUGAAGAAUAGUAAUCCCUCCCCACCUCUCUGAGCCACACUGCUAAAAUGACAGAAAGGAACCACUUAUGACAUUAAACUACAAGCCAUUUGGAUAACUGCUGCAUGGCAUCCCCUAAGUAUUAUGGUCCCGGUGGUACUCUAAUUGUGAUGGUCACCAGGUGGCAUUUCACCCCUUUUGGACACCUUUGAUUGCAUGUUGCUCUACGACUUCACAAUAAAUGUGAAAUAU